GGAGCAUGUGUUAAUUCGAAGUCAACGCGUAAGAACCUUUACCAGGUCUUGACAUCCCGAUGCUAUUCUAGAGAUGAAAGUUACUUCGGGUACAUCGGUGACAGGUGGUGCAUGGUUGUCGUCAGCUCGUGUCGUGAGAUGUUGGGUUAAGUCCCGCAACGAGCGCAACCCUCGUCCUAUGUUGCCAGCGGGUCAUGCCGGGGACUCAUGGGAGACUGCCGGGGUCAACUCGGAGGAAGGUGGGAUGACGUCAAAUCAUCAUGCCCCUUAUGUCUUGGGCUUCACGCAUGCUACAAUGGCCGGUACAAAGGGCUGCGAUACCGCGAGGUGGAGCGAAUCCCAGAAAGCCGGUCUCAGUUCGGAUUGGGGUCUGCAACUCGACCCCAUGAAGUCGGAGUCGCUAGUAAUCGCAGAUCAGCAACGCUGCGGUGAAUACGUUCCCGGGCCUU
rnacentral:rRNA from 1 species